UACGAAGGGGGCUAGCGUUGUUCGGAAUUACUGGGCGUAAAGCGCACGUAGGCGGAUAUUUAAGUCAGGGGUGAAAUCCCAGAGCUCAACUCUGGAACUGCCUUUGAUACUGGGUAUCUUGAGUAUGGAAGAGGUAAGUGGAAUUGCGAGUGUAGAGGUGAAAUUCGUAGAUAUUCGCAGGAACACCAGUGGCGAAGGCGGCUCACUGGACCGGUAUUGACGCUGAGGUGCGGAAAGCGUGGGGAGCAAACAGGAUUAAGAAACCCUGAGUAGUC
rnacentral:rRNA from 1 species